rnacentral:rRNA from 1 species
UACAGAGGGUGCGAGCGUUAAUCGGAAUUACUGGGCGUAAAGCGUGCGUAGACGGUUAUGUAAGUCAGGUGUGAAAGCCCCGGGCUCAACCUGGGAAUUGCAUUUGAGACUGCAUAGCUAGGGUGCGGAAGAGGGAAGCGGAAUUUCCGGUGUAGCGGUGAAAUGCGUAGAUAUCGUGAGGAAGACCAGUGGCGAAGGCGGGUCUCUGGACAGUUCCUGACACUGAGGCACGAAGGCCAGGGGAGCAAACGGG